CCUACGGGAGGCAGCAGUGGGGAAUAUUGCACAAUGGGCGCAAGCCUGAUGCAGCAACGCCGCGUGAGGGACGACGGCCUUCGGGUUGUAAACCUCUUUUAGCAGGGAAGAAGCGAAAGUGACGGUACCUGCAGAAAAAGCGCCGGCUAACUACGUGCCAGCAGCCGCGGUAAUACGUAGGGCGCAAGCGUUAUCCGGAAUUAUUGGGCGUAAAGAGCUCGUAGGCGGUUUGUCGCGUCUGCUGUGAAAUCCGGAGGCUCAACCUCCGGCCUGCAGUGGGUACGGGCAGACUAGAGUGCGGUAGGGGAGAUUGGAAUUCCUGGUGUAGCGGUGGAAUGCGCAGAUAUCAGGAGGAACACCGAUGGCGAAGGCAGAUCUCUGGGCCGUAACUGACGCUGAGGAGCGAAAGGGUGGGGAGCAAACAGGCUUAGAUACCCUGGUAGUCCACCCCGUAAACGUUGGGAACUAGUUGUGGGGUCCAUUCCACGGAUUCCGUGACGCAGCUAACGCAUUAAGUUCCCCGCCUGGGGAGUACGGCCGCAAGGCUAAAACUUAAGAUAGUGCGNGNGAGNGCGACGACGACGACGAGGAGGAG
rnacentral:rRNA from 1 species